AGUGAACGCUGGCGGUAGGCCUAACACAUGCAAGUCGAACGGCAGCACAGUAAGAGCUUGCUCUUACGGGUGGCGAGUGGCGGACGGGUGAGGAAUACAUCGGAAUCUACUUUUUCGUGGGGGCUCACGUAGGGAAACUUACGCUAAUACCGCAUACGACCUACGGGUGAAAGCAGGGGAUCUUCGCACCUUGCGCGAUUGAAUGAGCCGAUGUGGGAUUAGCUAGUUGGCGGGGUAAAGGCCAACCAAGGCGACGACCCGUAGCUGGUCUGAGAGGAUGAUCAGCGACACUGGAACGGAGACACGGUCCAGACUCCUACGGGAGGCAGCAGUGGGGAAUAUUGGACAAUGGGCGCAAGCCUGAUCCAGCCAUACCGCGUGAGUGAAGAAGGCCUUCGGGUUGUAAAGCCCUGUUGUUGGGAAAGAAAAGCAGCAGGUUAAUACCCCGCUGUUCUGACGGUACCCAAAGAAUAAGCACCGGCUAACUUCGUG
rnacentral:rRNA from 1 species